UUACUUAGCUGGCAGGGGAGAACAUGAUCGAGAAGGUCGUUUACCCAGGGUGAGGCUCAGCCAUUGCACUCCGGUUGUGCUGACCCCCUGCAAAUUCCCCAAAUGUGUGAACUUUCACUGCAUAAUUUCUGUAUUUGUCGCACCCUCUGACUUCUUUGGAGCGGCA
ensembl:snRNA U1 U1 spliceosomal RNA